AUACGGAGGGUGCAAGCGUUAAUCGGAAUUACUGGGCGUAAAGCGCGCGUAGGCGGUUUAUUAAGUCGGAUGUGAAAGCCCUGGGCUCAACCUGGGAACUGCAUUCGAUACUGGUAAACUAGAGUAUAGUAGAGGCAAGUGGAAUUUCAGGUGUAGCGGUGAAAUGCGUAGAUAUCUGAAGGAACAUCAGUGGCGAAGGCGACUUGCUGGACUAAUACUGACGCUGAGGUGCGAAAGCGUGGGGAGCAAACGGGAUUAGAAACCCUAGUAGUCC
rnacentral:rRNA from 1 species